UUUGAUGGCGACCGGCGCACGGGUGAGUAACACGUAUCCAACCUGCCGAUGACUCGGGGAUAGCCUUUCGAAAGAAAGAUUAAUACCCGAUGGCAUAGUUCUUCCGCAUGGUAGAACUAUUAAAGAAUUUCGGUCAUCGAUGGGGAUGCGUUCCAUUAGGUUGUUGGCGGGGUAACGGCCACCAAGCCUUCGAUGGAUAGGGGUUCUGAGAGGAAGGUCCCCCACAUUGGAACUGAGACACGGUCCAA
rnacentral:rRNA from 1 species